ensembl:lncRNA
GAGGGAGGGAGGGAGGACGGUGGUUCGCCUGAGGUCCUCAGCUCUGUUUUCCUGGAAGCUUUUCCCUGUAUUGUAUGUUUUCCAUGAAGCUGACUGGGUAGGGUUAGGCUAAGGGUAACCCUAACCUAACCCUAACCCUUUCACUGUAUUGUAUGUUUUCCAUGAAGCUGACUGGGUAUGGAACACACGCCUCUGUGUUAGGGCCCCUGAGGAGUGAACCACUGAACCAAAGACUGAACCGCAGAGCAGGCGGCCGGGGGGGACUCAAACCAAGUCCCUAGGCGCGCGUCCGGCCGGGAAAUCAAAGGCCUCCUGACGAGCCGAGCGCUGGGCUUCCUAACCCUAAACCCAGUCUGGCCUGUUGUCACAACCUGAUCUGACCCCUGACCUAUCUAUGGAGAGAGACACAAACACAAACGCACACACACAGUACAAUCACCAAAUAUAUCUGCCAAAGAUAUUUCUAUUUAAUUGGAAGUGGGAGCCGAUCAAUCUUUAGACGUGUUUCUAAAUACCUUCUGAACUGUCCUUUUUGGGAGAGAGUUUGUAGAAUGAUUUUAAAAGAACAAAGCAGUGACUGAAAGACAAGAAGGGAGUGUAAACUGAAAGAGUGUAAAUCCUGGACGGUUAGGGUUAGGGUUAACCCUAACCCUAAAUCCUGGAGGUGUCUGGUUCCACAGGAGAACAGCCCUCAGCCAAUCAAACGACUGGAAUAGAAACAUCUGAACCUGGGAGAGUAAACUGGGCAUGCACCGUGACGAUUAGUUUAAGAGUUGGGGUUAGGGUUAACCCUACAACUCGUGUAUGGAUGCGGUUAUUUGAAGCGCUUCUAUGGAUGGAAAUGAAGGCCUAUUCUAAGUAUUUGUUAAAAUACUGUUAGCCUGAUACCUGAUGAGCCUCGAGGCCAUCAGAACCAUCACAGACACAUGGAUGUUUAAACAAAGCGUCUACAGCAGCCAAAGCCAAGCAAGAAACCCGUUGGACCCUUUAAUGUCCAAGAAAGGCCGAAAUAUUGGACUGUAUUUAUCUGUAACAAGCGGUUUAACGCCAUACUCUGUCAUCGUGAAGUCUGUCAUUAUCUUUCCAUUUUGUAAUAUUUAUAUCGCUCCAUAGUGUAUUAUUUUUUUAAACAUACUGAAUAAAUUCUGUCUUUGGAGCUCAUUCCAAA